GUUGGGAAAUGGUGAUAAGCAGGUGAUGAAUCGUGCAAUCUGCCAUGGCAAAUUAACCUUGCUCGGUAGUUUCAUACCGAGAUCUUUUACGGACUGAUUUCCAGGUAACGACGACUGUAAAGUUUUCAACUUAGAUUCAACACACAAGACUACUGUUACAGAACUACUAGAACCUACACGGACACAUGUCUGCUCCUGAUUCCGAUACUGGCAUGUACUGCCGAUACCGUUAUUGACAUUUACUGGAACCAGUAUGGUUUUGCAUCUACUGCCAGUACCAUUACUGACAUAUAUCAACUGUUGGUACCAAUACUGACACGUGUUUACUGUUGGUACCGUUAUUGAAAUAUAUCAAGCACUGGCGUCGAUACUGUUUUGUAUCUACCGCCGGUACGUAAUUAAUGAUCUAUCGCAACUAUUUGUUAUGUACAUAUGUAUCAAACACAUAAAUAAACCACUGGUCCUGCUAUUGACAGAUAUCAGCUGGGGUUGACCUUUAUCAUUUUCAGGGGACCUGUUUAUUUAAAUUAUGAGUUAUCGUUAAUGCUCGAAGCGUCAUCAGUUAUCUGUGAUAAACCCUGAAGACAGCUGUGUGAAAUAUUCCCGUACAAUAUGUGCAGGCCAACCCGCAUCUGGCGUCUCUCGGCAUCAGCUUUGCGUGUAUAUGUCCAACCUUCACCGACACCGACAUGAUUGUCCAUGGUGACUUCCGCGAAGGCCGGAGUCUGUACACCGAGGAUUCCCAGAGAAUGAUGGCGGAAGUGGGAGUGAUGCCGCUCAGUCAGGUGGUGACUGCGUUUGAGCAACUCCUUGACAGCCCCGACAACAACGGCAUCGUCAUGUCCGUCACUAACAUCAAAGGUGUGCGCGUCAGAAAACAUGGCCGACCGAGCAGGCUCUGAGAUGAUGGAGGAAAGAGGGUCCGAUACGCCGUCCACACAAUUCCCGUGAUGACGAGGAUGAUGAUGAUGAUGAUGGUGAUGAUGGUGAUGAUGACAACGACGACCAUACUCAAACUUAAACAGAAAUUAAUGCAAACAUGUCUCAUGCUAAUCCUACUUGUGCUUCUAUAACCGUUUGAUAAAAAGUAUUGCAAUUCAUA